UGUGUGCACACGUAAGUCCGUAUUUUAGUGGUUUACUUCCCCCGCUUCGACUAAUCGCGUCUGCACGUGCGUGCUGAUUUUACAAUAUUAUUGUUAAAACUGAUAGUGGUAUAUCUUUCUAUUAAAUGCAACGCGUUAUGAGUGCAACGGAAGAACGGUGACACUACUAAAAGGACAAAUUGAUUGAUUCUACGGAAACCAUUGACUCGGUCAAGGACUUCAUUGGGGAUUUCAUUGAGCAAAUCAGUUGAAGUAACGAGUUUCAAAUUAGAUACAUAUGAUGCUCAAAUAAAUCGUGAACAUCGAGCUCAACAAUUUGAAAUAAGAAACAAGACUUUUAUAAGGAGAUUAUAAAUCAGAAAUGAAGGGCUCCUACGAUUGCUUUUGUGAUUAAUUAACUGUAUAUAAAGAUUGUUUUCUUCCAAAGUAAAUACGUAUGUACAAUUUUAUACAGAGCUAUGAAAUUGGACUAUCAACUGUAAUAUGCAGGAUAUUAUACACAUAGGGUUGUGAAUAUAAGUAUUUAGAAAAUAAUCAUGCCAUAAUUGAAUUUUUUAACUAUUCCGAUGAUUAAAUACUUAUCUAUAUUUAAAAUAUUCCAGUCACGUCGUUUUUUCAAAUCAUAAACAGUUUAGAUACAUGCAAAACGUCAUACAUAUUAAGUGUCUUUUCUAUCCAAUUUGUAUGGAAUUAAAAAUUAUAAAAUGAUAAUGAUAAAAUUCGAGAUUUUUAUGUAUUGAUAUUUUUUAAUUACAAAAUCCAUAGUCUAUAAUUGGUGUGUUAUAUACAAUAAAUAUAAAUAAAUACAUAUUUUGAAUUGACAUUAUUUACUUAGUUACAUCUUAAUAUGUGCAAUAGUACAAUGUCAUUU